GGCUGGUUAGCUCAGUUGGUUAGAGUGUGGUGCUAAUAACGCCAAGGUCGCGGGUUCGAUCCUCGUACGGGCCA
rfam:Xenopus laevis strain J chromosome 3L, whole genome shotgun sequence.